rnacentral:rRNA from 1 species
GACGAACGCUGGCGGCGUGCUUAACACAUGCAAGUCGAACGGAAAGGCCCUGCUUUUGUGGGGUGCUCGAGUGGCGAACGGGUGAGUAACACGUGAGUAACCUGCCCUUGACUUUGGGAUAACUUCAGGAAACUGGGGCUAAUACCGGAUAGGAGCUCCUGCUGCAUGGUGGGGGUUGGAAAGUUUCGGCGGUUGGGGAUGGACUCGCGGCUUAUCAGCUUGUUGGUGGGGUAGUGGCUUACCAAGGCUUUGACGGGUAGCCGGCCUGAGAGGGUGACCGGCCACAUUGGGACUGAGAUACGGCCCAGACUCCUACGGGAGGCAGCAGUGGGGAAUCUUGCACAAUGGGCGGAAGCCUGAUGCAGAAACGCCGCGUGCGGGAUGACGGCCUUCGGGUUGUAAACCGCUUUAGCCUGUGACGAAGCGUGAGUGACGGUAAUGGGUAAAGAAGCACCGGCUAACUACGUG